GUUGUAGUUCAGUUGGUUAGAGCGUCAGAUUGUGGUUCUGAAUGUCGUGGGUUCGAGUCCCAUCUG
rnacentral:tRNA from 1 species